CCUACGGGUGGCAGCAGUGGGGAAUAUUGGACAAUGGGGGCAACCCUGAUCCAGGCAUGCCGCGUGUGUGAAGAAGGCCUUCGGGUUGUAAAGCACUUUAGGUAAGGAAGAAAAGUUAUUGGUUAAUACCUAAUGACCGUGACAUUACUUACAGAAUAAGGACCGGCUAACUCCGUGCCAGCAGCCGCGGUAAUACGGAGGGUCCAAGCGUUAAUCGGAAUUACUGGGCGUAAAGCGCGCGUAGGCGGUUUGACAAGUUGGGUGUGAAAUCCCCGGGCUUAACCUGGGAACUGCAUUCAAAACUUUUAAACUGGAGUACGGGAGAGGAGAGUAGAAUUCAUGGUGUAGCGGUGAAAUGCGUAGAUAUCAUGAGGAAUACCAAUGGCGAAGGCAACUCUCUGGACCGUAACUGACGCUGAGGUGCGAAAGCGUGGGUAGCA
rnacentral:rRNA from 1 species